rnacentral:tRNA from 1 species
GCGUCGUUAGCGCAGUAGGCAGCGCGUCAGUCUCAAAUCAAAUCUAGAAAUCUGAAGGUCGUGAGUUCGAUCCUUACACGGGGCA